UUAAACAGAACUUGCAAUAAAGAAAGCCUAAAUAGGGCUCUCUUUACAGGAAGUGUUUAUGGAAGGCUGUGCAAGUCACAUGCAGGGAGGUGUGACUAGGGUUCAUAAACAAAGGGAUUUCACUCCUAAAUGGCAGAGGAUUGAGCAGUGAGGCUGCAGGGGCAUGUUCUAUACACCAAAACAACUUAAUUAAGCUAAAGUUGUUCAGGUGAGUAUAGUGUCCCUUUAAUAUGUUACAUUAGUUCAUUAUGUGCAGUCUGUGUUGUAAUACAUACAAAUGCAUCACUGCAAAGUUUAUGUACGUUCAUAUGUUCAGAUCAAUUCGCCUCUGCGCAGAUGAUAAUCUGCAUUUACCCUUAUAAACCGAUACUUAAGCCUCUGCGUAGGCGACUGUUCGCGUUAAUGGAAAUCUGUCUGAUGUGAGAACACGAUACCAAUAAACAUAUUUAAAACAAAAUAGUCAGACACUCUUUGGUCAAGCAUAUCAUCAAGGCCAACUCAUACAUUUCGCUCAUACUAGGCAUAUACUCGCAUUUUUCUCCAUUUGAAGAUACUGAUGUAAUUUUAGUCUGUCUUCUCUAAAUGAUGAUGAUUACUAGCACAUCGCAACACCCAUACAAAAGACAGGGCAAACAUGUAGAUUCUUCUAUAUUUAGUUAAAAAAAUGUUUUAUGCAGCAGAUAGGUCACAAUAAAAGAUAAAAAAGAAAAACCAUGAUUUUCAUUUUGAUUAUUUUUUCACCCUGUGUUGUAAUCCUGUGCUGUUAUUUAACCAUGCAGUAAAAAAGAUUGACUUUCUUUAAUGUAUGUUGGAUUAUGAGAUCAGAUGGAGAGUCUGCUCAAGUGCAGCUGAAACUACUGUUCUUGUUUUCUGUACAUAUUCCAAAAACCAGUCCUU